CUACGGGGGGCUGCAGUGAGGAAUAUUGCGCAAUGGGGGAAACCCUGAUCUAGCCAUGCCGCGUGAGUGAUGAAGGCCUUAGGGUUGUAAAGCUCUUUCGCUGGGGAAGAUAAUGACGGUACCCAGUAAAGAAACCCCGGCUAACUCCGUGCCAGCAGCCGCGGUAAUACGGAGGGGGUUAGCGUUGUUCGGAAUUACUGGGCGUAAAGCGCGCGUAGGCGGGCUAUUAAGUCAGGGGUGAAAUCCCGGGGCUCAACCCCGGAACUGCCUUUGAUACUGGUAGUCUUGAGUUCGAGAGAGGUGAGUGGAAUUCCGAGUGUAGAGGUGAAAUUCGUAGAUAUUCGGAGGAACAUCAGUGGCGAAGGCGACUCACUGGCUCGAUACUGACGCUGAGGUGCGAAAGUGUGGGGAGCAAACAGGAUUAGAUACCCCUGUAGUC
rnacentral:rRNA from 1 species